UCUUGCAAGGGGUCUCGGUAGCGGAGCGAGCCAAAAGGGGAAGGAGGAGUGCGUGCUGGCGGGGUUGAAGGCGGCGGCGGAGGCGGAGGCGGCAGCGCUUGAGCGACAGCCGAAGGGGCCGACGGGGGUAAACCGCGGCGGAGGCGGACAUCUCCGUCCGCCGGCGAGCUCUCGCGCCAGUACAACCUCUUUCUGUCCUAUAGGAUAAAGAUGCUACCCCUACAACCGUUACACAUGAAACCCGGUUUAGUGGGCUACUUUGGCGUAGCGGAAACGUACUGUGUGGUAGAGCACAAUAGUAUACUAGAAGUGUUCUUUUACCUCUAUAUAUCUGGGGUGUUUCGUAUAGGUUGUCUCGAACGCGUCAAGGUAAGACGACUAAUACACCUUAAGAACGUGGCUUAUUGAGGACUAUGGGUCGUGAACAUACGUUCACUUAAUUGAUCUAUGUUGGAACCUCUCCUGACGGGCCAGAAACUACUAAACAAACUCAAGACGGUUUAGAUACGACCUCCUUGAGAUCUACGCCGAGCUUCUGAUUUAGUAUUUUGUACACUAUAACGAUAAUUAACCCGACCACCCGACGUAGUACGUUUCUUCACACUCCGCAGUCCGAAGACGAUGUAAUUACUGGACCAAAACCCUUAAGACCUCGAAGAGUUCAUAGUACGAUCCCAAGAGAUAUAACUGUAACUACAGGUAGUACCUCUACCUCAACUUCUUCGGAAGAUAAAGUGACUGUCCCAUUACUGACAUUCAAAGGUGUUCAUACCACUGUACAAGAAAGGACCGUGUCCACUAUAAUUCCUAUAUCCUCUGUCCCUUCCUUCUAUAAUACGUUAGUUGUAGGGUGAAUUUCUACCGUAUCUACUGUCGUCGAAAUGAGCGGAAAAAUUUUGCUAAUAACGGUUUCAACAACUCUGUAUAGACGGUCCACGAUAACAAGAAGUUACACCCCGACUAAGUAACCGCGCUCUGGCGGAUCCCACAAAGUUAGAAAGUUAUCUUCCGGUACGACUUACACAUUUCAAACAAUUCUUUAAAUUUUAGGGCGACGACCACUGUCCUCCACCACCCAUGUGGUUUCUCUUACAUCGUGCGACAACCCGACAACUUUGACCCCAAGAAGAUCUGUGUCUUGAGGGUUUACUCUAGGGACUGUUACUUAUGUAACUUAUGAAGCCAGGUCUAAUAUGUAACUUUCAUGGUUUAGACUUGUACCUGUUGAACUUAUCAUUCUGCAUAGAGUCAAGUUAGUUUCACGUUCAUUACCUCUCAAACGCCCGGUAUGUUGUACGUGGACCGCAAGUCUACGUUCUCCAAGGUGGGCUAAAGAUACAGGGCCUAAAACUACUUCUGCUCGACCUAGGACUACUUGCACAACUAGUCGUAUGGGUUCUGUUCGUCCAAGUAGCACUGCUGCUCAUGAUACUUCCGCUGUUGCUGUUACUAGUGCUACUGCCGCCUGUAACUCUAGCCGUAGAACUGCUACAUACAUCCACCUUCGACUUUCAGAAAGGGCGUCGUCGACGACAAGUCAAAUAUUGUAGCACCCUACCCCUUAUCAACCGACUAACUGUAAAAUCCUAGACUGCGAUCCGACCUCUCGUAACACCCUCUUGCAUUGUGAACGACUGAACAUGUCGUAACAUGCUAGAGUGUAAACAUGAAUGAAUUUUAUGGUAGUAAAGUCAUGCAUGCAUUAAAAAAUAAAUCGGAAACCUAAUAAGAACAUAAACAUACAUA
rnacentral:rRNA from 1 species